GAGUAAAGUGGCGCACGGGUGCGUAACACGUAAAGAACUUACCCUAAAGUCGGGGACAACUGCUAGAAAUGGCAGCUAAUUCCGGAUACGCUCUAAGAAUCAUAAAGGUUUUUAGAGGAAAGUGGCCCUCUGAUCUAUGGUCACGCUUAAGGAUGGCUUUGCGGCCCAUCAGCUUGUUGGUGAGGUAAUGGCCCACCAAGGCUAUGACGGGUAGCUGGUCUGAGAGGACGAUCAGCCACACUGGGACUGAGACACGGCCCAGACUCC
rnacentral:rRNA from 1 species